GGAACGGUGUCUGAGUCUGGCUUAAGGAGUCCGCCUUGAAAGCGGAUGAGGGUGAAAGUCCUCCGUGGGUUCGAAUCCUACCUGUUCCGCCA
rnacentral:tRNA from 1 species